GGAGGGGUCGCAUAGAGGCCUAGUGCGGCGGUUUACUAAACCGCUGUAUCGCAAGAUACCAUGGGUUCGAAUCCCAUCCCCUCCG
rnacentral:tRNA from 1 species